GAAGUCUAACAUGUGCGCGAGUCAUUGGGUUAAAAAACCUAAAGGCGGAAUGAAAGUGAAGGGAGCCUUGCUUUCCGAGGGAGGAUGGGCAUGCGGCUCACGAGCGGUGCCCCGCACUCCCGGGGCGUCUAUCGCUCAUUGCGAGCGGAGGCGCACCCAGAGCGUACACGUUAGGACCCGAAAGAUGGUGAACUAUGCCUGGUCAGGACGAAGCCAGGGGAAACCCUGGUGGAGGUCCGUAGCGAUUCUGACGUGCAAAUCGAUCGUCAGAGCUGGGUAUAGGGGCGAAAGACUAAUCGAACCAUCUAGUAGCUGGUUCCCUCCGAAGUUUCCCUCAGGAUAGCUGGUGCCCGUGUGAGACGAGUCUCAUCCGGUAAAGCGAAUGAUUAGAGGCCUUGGGGCCGAAACGACCUCAACCUAUUCUCAAACUUUAAAUAGAUGAGAACUCCGGCUUGCUUGAAAAGUGAAGCCGGAGAAUCGGAUCAGGGUGCCCAGUGGGCCAAUUUUG
rnacentral:rRNA from 1 species